rnacentral:rRNA from 1 species
AGCGAACGCUGGCGGCAGGCCUAACACAUGCAAGUCGAACGAACUCUUCGGAGUUAGUGGCGGACGGGUGAGUAACACGUGGGAACGUGCCUUUUGGUUCGGAAUAACUCAGGGAAACUUGUGCUAAUACCGAAUGCGCCCUUCGGGGGAAAGAUUUAUCGCCAUUAGAGCGGCCCGCGUCUGAUUAGCUAGUUGGUGAGGUAACGGAUCACCAAGGCGACGAUCAGUAGCUGGUCUGAGAGGAUGACCAGCCACACUGGGACUGAGACACGGCCCAGACUCCUACGGGAGGCAGCAGUGGGGAAUCUUGCGCAAUGGGCGAAAGCCUGACGCAGCCAUGCCGCGUGAAUGAUGAAGGUCUUAGGAUUGUAAAAUUCUUUCACCGGGGACGAUAAUGACGGUACCCGGAGAAGAAGCCCCGGCUAACUUCGUG